GGGGAUGUAGCUCAGUCGGGAGAGCGCUAGCCUCGCAUGUUAGAGGUCGCGGGUUCGAAUCCCGCCAUCUCCA
rnacentral:tRNA from 1 species